GCGGUGCGGAUCGUUUCCCUUGUCUUGUUUUUGUUUUCGUGUUUUUUCUUUCUUUCGAUGGGGAAUUUUCGUGCCGGUCAUAGUGUCUGAUCUACGCGGCGAUUAUCAUCCUUCGAGAAAAUGCUGUGGCAUCAAAUACACUAGAGGGGAAAGGUUUUUUUUUGGGAAAGGAUAUGUUCACUCAAGCAAACAACGACCAUCUGUUGCUUAUCUCGACCGCAUUUGUUGCAAUUGCAACAAAUUGCCUGUUGGUACAGACGAUGAGGAGGCUGCGCUGCACGCUGGCCAAUGAACCCGUUCGCCGAGUUGCGAUAAUGAUGCGCACACAAACACACCGUUUCGCUGAUGCUGCUGCUGCUGUUGAUGAUGAUGAUGAUGAUGAUGCUGGCAAUGUUGCAGAUAUCCCGUCGUAUUGCGCGACCCGCAGGAAGGGCGGGGGAAAGGAUUGAUGCAGUAUUGUGAGACGCAAACCGAAGAUCGAAGGAAAUUAUCAGAUCAGAAAGAUUUACCGCAGCAGUGUAGGCUUUCGGAAACUUCUCUGCAGCGAGCCUUCUCGGGAGAUGCAACGCAGCGCAGCUGCUGCUGUGGUACUACAUCUACACAACCACCCAGAGCAGGAGGGAGGAGGCGGGAGCCUUUUCCCAACGGCAUCAAAGAUCGGGCAGAUCAAUCUGUAGUCCCGUUAUUUAGGGCGAACCACCAAUUCGCCGUGGUGGACGACGCUGUGACGUGCUGAGAUAACAUUGCCCGGAGAUGAGCGGAGUUCUAUGGGAUGCAUCUUUUACAAUUUGGGCGUUCAAGGAUUUUGCUGCACGGAUGGACCCCGUCGGCAGGAUGUUGCUGUGCAGGAUGGGACUCGGAUUUCACUCGGACACACACCGGUAGCGGGUAGCACAUCUCUUGCGGGGACAUUGUUCAUGAUGGCUCAAACUUUCCCAGAUGAGCACCUGAUGAGGUGUAGGAGGAGGAGGAUGCUUCGACACAUACGCACCCGCGGGGGAGAGGUCAUAUAUCAUACUCCAUGUAAAGAUAUGUGGGUGUUCCGUAUGAUUUGACUUAAGCCGAAAGUUGCCAUGUACGCAUGCAUGCAUGCUUGGAGGACGAACCGAGCAAUAGGGAAGUCAAUUUAUUCCGAAAACAUUUCAAUGUCAAUUGUGGAUUGGCAAAAACAGGGUCCCGCAACAGGUACAGCGACGAAGCACCUUUUACCAUCAAAAGAAACAGCUCAGCAUCCCUGAUCGGUAGAAGUAAGUAAUCCUCUUCCCGGGAGUGGAUUAUUGAGCAAAUUGGCAAGGUUAUGAGCGGUGUGCUGCUGAGCCGUUUCAACGAAGGCGGCAACCAUAGAGAAUAUGCACAUUAUUUAAUGUUAAAACAAAAGCAACCGGGUAGCGGGUACCUGUCCCUAGCUGCAGGCAUGUAACCUAGGCUGGGAGAGAUUAAUGACAGAGCUUUCAUAAAACGGACAAAAGGCGGUAUUACUCCAAUGAUAUAAAGGAAAAGCAAAGGUUAUGAACA